GGAGGGGCAAUGUCGAAGCUCAAGGAAACUCCGCCGCAAAUCGGCUACUAUCUCGCCGGUUUUGCGGAUGGAGAAGGCAGCUUCAACGUCUCGUUUCGCCCCAGGACCGACUACGGUUUUCCGUGGAAGAUCUCGCUGUGCUUCAACAUCUCUCAGCGGGAUCCGGUGGUCCUCGUACUGUUCAAGAAGCAUCUUGGGUGUGGGACGAUGCGCCAGCGUCACGACGGCGUGUGGUAUUUCGAAGUCAACAACCUCAGUGCGAUCCUCGAGAGCGUGAUCCCCUUCUUCGAGCGGUUUGGUUUCCUCUCCGCAAAGAAGAAAAGGGACUUCGCGAAGUUCAAACAGAUGGCUCAGAUCAUGCGUGAGGGACGCCAUCUCUCCCGUGAGGGAGUCGAGGAGAUCCUGAGGGUGAGCGCCGACAUGAACGAUGGUGGCAAUCGCCGUUACACCGACGAACAGGUCCGAGAAAAGCUUGCGAAUCCUCAGAGACCAUACGCCGAAUCCCGCGCCGCGCGGGAAUGAUAUGGUCCGAUCUCCGUGGCGACACGGAGAGCCUGGCGGAAACGACCAGGCCGCCUGCGCUGCAUGCAGGACGUAACAAUCGUGAACGGUCCUAAGGUAGCGAAAUUCCUUGUCGGGUAAGUUCCGACCUGCACGAAAGGCGAAACGAUCUGGGCGCUGUCUCUACGGGGGGCUCAGCGAAUUUGAAGUACCGGUGAAGAUGCCGGUUACCCGCACCUAGACGGAAAGACCCUGUGCACCUUUACUACAACUUGUCACUGGACCUUGGUGUUGUAUGUGCAGAAUAGGUGGGAGGCUGUGAAGCCGGGGCGUCAGCUUCGGUGGAGCCGUCGGUGAGAUACCACCCUUACUGCUCUGAGGUUCUAACCUAGGGCCGUGAAGCCGGCCCGGGAACAAUGGCAGGUGGGUAGUUUGACUGGGGCGGUCGCCUCACAAAGUGUAACUGAGGCGCCCAAAGGUUCCCUCAGGCUGAUUGGAAACCAGCCGCAGAGUGCAAAGGCAUAAGGGAGCUUGACUGCGAGACCAACAAGUCGAGCAGGGACGAAAGUCGGGCUUAGUGAUCCGGCGGUCCCGUAUGGAAGGGCCGUCGCUCAACGGAUAAAAGGUACGCCGGGGAUAACAGGCUGAUCCUGCCCAAGAGUUCACAUCGACGGCGGGGUUUGGCACCUCGAUGUCGGCUCAUCGCAUCCUGGGGCUGAAGCAGGUCCCAAGGGUUCGGCUGUUCGCCGAUUAAAGCGGUACGUGAGCUGGGUUUAGAACGUCGCGAGACAGUUCGGUCCCUAUCUGGUGUGGGCGGAGGACACUUGAGGAGAGAUGUCCUUAGUACGAGAGGACCAGGACGUACGGACCUCCAGUGUACCAGUUGUCGCGCCAGCGGCAGCGCUGGGUAGCUGCGUCCGGAAGGGAUAACCGCUGAAUGCAUCUAAGCGGGAAGCCAACUCCAAGAUUAGGUGUCCCUCCUGCAUAGCAGGACUAAAGGCCUCUGGUAGAUGACCAGUUUGAUAGGCGGGAGGUGGAAGCGCAGCGAUGCGUGUAGCUGACCCGUACUAAUCGGCCGUGCGGCUUGACCAU
rnacentral:rRNA from 1 species